rnacentral:rRNA from 1 species
UACGGAGGGGGCUAGCGUUGUUCGGAAUUACUGGGCGUAAAGCGCGCGCAGGCGGUCCUUUAAGUCUGAUGUGAAAGCCCACGGCUCAACCGUGGAGGGUCAUUGGAAACUGGGGGACUUGAGUACAGAAGAGAAGAGUGGAAUUCCACGUGUAGCGGUGAAAUGCGUAGAGAUGUGGAGGAACACCAGUGGCGAAGGCGACUCUUUGGUCUGUAACUGACGCUGAGGCGCGAAAGCGUGGGGAGCAAACAGG